ACGCUUGAACACAAAGAAAUCACAGCGUCCGAUUGGGAAGAACAAGAGACACGGAAUCCCAAGCCAAGAGAUGGACCCCAAUUUAGGACAACAGUUUUAAUGAAAAACAGGCUUGAUUUUAUAUUUAUAAUCAUUAUUUCCAUUGAAUAUUACAGAAGCUGGAGCGUUGAGAAGUUGUUCUGUAUCCGGAUGGCUUGGUGGUCGGGAGUGUGCUCUCUCUGUCAAGCCGUGGUUCUGUUGCCUCUGUAGCGUUUGAGACAGACAGGGACUGGGACAGGGUUGAGGGACAUGACUGUCUUGGAUGCUGUGAGCUGACACAGAGGAGGAUUCAGUGGACGCUGGCUGGGAAUAUAGCCUAUGUUCUCUAUGCUGGAUCGUUAAGGAGGUGGAUCUUUCUGGAUGGGUAACUCUCCCUGAUCAUCCCUUUCCCUGCCCAUCCGAGUUGACCCCUGACCCCUAACCCCCCACCAACCCUUAGACCCCCCCCACUCCUGCAAGCCACCAUGACAUCGACCUCAUGGCCCCAGCUUCUGGCCUUCAAGCUGGCCCCUCCGCCCCGUGACCCUGGGAGUCCAGAGAGGAUCUUCAGCUGUGACAGGGAGAUGGAGCGCCGCUAUGAGAUCGUUCCCUCUGUGGUCUCCUCCAUGUGCUGCCUCUUCGGCAUCAUAUACUGCUUCUUUGGCUACCGUUGUUUCAAGGCGGUGAUGUUCCUAACAGGCUUGAUGUUUGGCUCUGUCGUCAUCUUUCUGCUGUGUUAUAAGGAGCGUGUCUUGGACACCCAGCUGAGUGUGGAGGCCUCGGUGGGCAUCGGCCUGGGCAUCGGUACCCUCUGUGGCCUGGUCACCAUGCUGGUGCGCUCUGUGGGACUCUUCAUGGUGGGGCUGCUGCUGGGAUUACUGCUGGGUAUCGCCUCACUUGUAGUGAUGGAGGAAUUCCACCACCCCCGGACGGUGUGGCUGCCCCUGGGGGUGUUGUUGGGGUCAGGCAUGCUGUUCGCUGUCCUCACCCUCCAAUGGCAGCGCUUCUUCACCACCCUCUCCACCGCUGUGUUUGGUUCCGCUGUCAUCACCGUCACUGUGGACUACUUCCUCGAGCUGUUCGCUCUGGUCAGAUACAUAUUGGAGAGGAUCAAGGUGGCUCCGCCCCGUCCUCUCUGCUGGUUCACCUGGGUCAUCAUGGGGGUGUGGCCUGUCCUGGCAUUGCUGGGGGUCCUCAUCCAAUGGAAGGUCACCGCCGAGGGAUAUUCACACACUGAGGUGUUUCUCAGUCGACAGCAGCGGAGGGUCCAGUUGAUGAGGAUCCACCAGAAGGAAGAGAGGACGCAGAAAGACGUGAGGAUGAUGAAGAAGAAGAAGAAGAAGAGACCGAAGCAGCAGCAACAGCAGAAGCAGCCGGGGCACCUCCAGCAUCAACAGUACCACCGCCCUCCUCCUCCUACCUACCCUCCACCUACCACCACCACCAAACCCCUGCUCCCUGAGCCUUUCACCUACCACAGGAAACCAAACCACACCCGACGCUUCGAUGGGGACGUGCUCUCGCCUAGUUACAUCUCUAGUUUCAGGGACAGACAGGUGGACAGACGGUGGACAGACAGGUGGACAGACGGGGGACAGACAGGUGGACAGACGGUGGACAGACGGGGGUACCCUCACAGCGGCAGGCCCAUGGCCAGGCACCACAUGGCUGACCGAGACUACGACUGUGGAUCCCAAGUACCCCUGACCGCCCCCAAUGGACCGGCUGUACGGGUGUGACAAUGACAAUGCCUUCAUAUCCUUUGUGUGACAAUGCCAAUGCACCGUAGUGGUCUGGAGUGGUGCUGUCUGUCCAUUAAUUGUUCAGAAAAUGUACUUCAGUGUCUGGUUUGAACGUUAAUCUCUGCACCAAUGUUUUCUGAGGUGCAUAUAGAAGUUGAUGUCGUCCCUUCCCUUCUCUUACAUUCCACCCCGAAAGCAUAUCAGGGUCCAGAUUGAGAUUGACCUUUGAACCCUGGACUAAUUCAUUCUGAGGGGGAAAUGAAAGGUUGUUGAUGUCCUCCACUCUCCUCUCUUACAUUCCAUCUUUAGUCUGUGGUUUAUUUGGGCUGUGGUUCCUACGUCUCAGCUCUUAACGGUGCAAGGAAGCACUGACUGAAGUCUUCAAGACAUCUAUUUUUGAAGUGUUACACUUUCCCAUAAAAUUUAGGUCAAUACAAUACCCACAAGUCAUAGUUUUUGCACAAAAAAAUAAAAAUAAGACUAUAAUCACCAGGAAUUCAGCAAAACAUUUGUUUAAUUUUGGAAAUGUGUUCAUAAGUAUUCCCACGAAUAAAAAUAAAAAAAUGAUGUGAUCGUGUCUCAAUGUAAUCAAGGUAUGAAAUUAUUAUUAUUUUUCAAAUGCAAUUUAUUUUUGGGGCUUUAGUUGUGGUCUGUUUGUAAUGAUUAUAAUACAGCUCCGACUCCUGACCAUCCAAAACGUGUCCCGUGGUGGCUGAAUCUAGUUGCCUGACCCUUAACCUAGUCUUUACAGCUGAGGUGGCCUGCUGUGACGUGGGCUCAGUGUUGAUUUGUUGUUGUGUGCCUACUGCCCUCGUCGACUGAUCCUGAUUCGCACCAGGCUGUCCAUUAUUAGCCCCGCCGCUAAGUCUUGUUUUAACCCGUUCAUCUCAUUAUGGCCGUGUUCAUUUGAACGGAUUUGAAACAUGAGGAAGGGAUAAUACUUUUAAAGCUACAGUAUUAUUCAAACCUGCUAUGGCUUCAAUGUUGCCCUUUACUGGUCCUGUGGGGGGGGGGGUGACAGUACAAAUAACAUGCUGUCUCUCGUCUCCUCUCGUCUCCUCUCGUCUCCUCUCCUCUCCUGUCUUUGUAAUGCAUUUACUCCUACAUAGAUUGAGUGUUUGUGUCUGAGUGCUGGGAGAUUGUCUGUAUGCUGUGGGCGGAUUGGGAUUUUGUCAACUUUCUCACACUCAUUGGCCUCUGGAGAUCAGUCUGAACAUGAAGAUUCAUGGGAGAAAAAAAAACAUUACCUGCCAUAGAAUAAGAUACAUAUGGACCCUCAACAAGUCCAUUAGACCCAGUCUGUGCUGUGAAAGGGGAAAAGUCUAGGUGGGGUCAGUACCAGUGAUGUCAUAGUAAAACAAUAGGUGGGUCGCUCCCUCUACUUUCAAUGCAUCUCACCACAGAAAGGUGUGUCUACUGCGUUGACUUGUUUACCCUCUGCUACACCAUUACAUGUCUCCCUCCGUGUCAGGUUUAGGACUGUACCAAGUACACCACUGGUUGGUCCAUUACAUGUCUCCCCCCCGUGUCAGGUUUAGGGCUGUACCAAGUAGAGCACAUGAAUAGGGGGGGAGAUAAUUUCAAAGGCUAAAGAAGGUACUGAAAGCUUUGCCUCAAGACUGUUAUUUCCUGUAAUCGAGUGUGAAAUGGUAUCUUUGUUAUGAAACUAAACGUCAGUCAUGUCUUUGUAAAUAUUGUACAUCAUUGAUUGUUGUUUAUAUAUAUAUAUAUAUAUACUGUUCUGUGUUCUUGCUUUUAAUGUAAUUAUGUAUUUAUUUGUAUUAAUUCUCUGAUUAUUCUGAGUACCUUUUUUAAGUAUUGUAUUAUUUGUUGCCUAGGGCUGGGAUUCCAUCGAAGGCGCGUUAUAUCACAGCACACUGCCAUUCGCAGACAUCACAUUCAUGGUAAACGUUCAUGGUAAACGUUCAUGGUAAACUUUCAUGGUAAACGUUCAUGGUAAACGUUCAUGGUGAAUUACCUUUCAAAAGGUACGUUGCUCUAUAACACACCUUGGAUGGAAUCCAGGCUUUUAUUAGGAAUGCUUUCACUUUCCUUUAUGGUCGGCGGUUGGGUGCCAUUUGGGACGCACACUGAGUUGAAGCAUUAUUCUGUGCAAAUGGGGUACUUAAACAGAAGAUCUGAGCCUUUGUAUUAAAUAUUAUUAUUAUUAUUGAGCAUGUAUUUGUAUGAACCUGGAUAUGAUCAACAUUGUGAUUCUAAAGUCGCUGACUACGCCAUUUAUUGCUGCAGUUUGUUGUGUUUACAUCUAGUUCAACUGCUUACAGUAAUUACAUAUGUGACCGACCACCUCUAUUCGGUCUUAUGUUGCAAAAUUUGAAAUUGUGUUUUUUAUGUUGGAUAAAAGACUCCGAGCUAGAAAGUGGUAUAGCCGCCUCCCGAGUGGCGUAGCGGUCUAAGGCACUGCAUCGCAGUGCUAGAGGCGUCACUACAGACCCAGGUUCGA